CCGCCAUACCGCGUGGGUGAAGAAGGCCUUCGGGUUGUAAAGCCCUUUUGUUGGGAAAGAAAUCCAGCUGGUUAAUACCCGGUUGGGAUGACGGUACCCAAAGAAUAAGCACCGGCUAACUUCGUGCCAGCAGCCGCGGUAAUAAAGCAGCAGCG
rnacentral:rRNA from 1 species